AUAAAAUGUAAUAGGGUUUUGUACUCCUUCUUUUUUCUUUUUUCAACUUUUUCUUGGGGGGAGAGGAAUGCUAGUGGGGUUGUUGGAGUACAAGUGAAUUUUCCGAAGUAAUUUAUCUAUUGAGGAAAUAUUAGUAACUUUUUAGGAGGAAUAUCACGAAAUGUGUGAAUAAUUAGAAGUAAUUUUGAAUGUGUGAUUAAAAUUAAAGUUUGACUUUGAUUGGACAGUAGAAGUAACUUUUAAUUUUCAAAUAAUGUUUCCAAAACUUAGGCAAUGUAUUAUUUGUUAAAUUUGACCUCACUCUACUUAACCUAAUUAUCUUAUACAAUUUGAUGGGAUUCAAGCCUGUAACUUGAACCCGUCUGACUCCAUUAAUUUUCUUCUUUUAACCUACUUGACGGGUGGUCUUCGCUUGGGCUCAUAGUUAGUAUUUCUUUUUACUAAAUCGAGCAAUUAAAAUACAAUAAACUCUGGCAGAUAAAACCAUCUGAAAGCUUGAGGUAAUAUAAUCCCCUGUAGUGAAGUGGGGUGCAAGGUAGCUGAAAUAAAAAUUGUGUGUGAAAAAUAUAUAUGAUUUUGGAUACUUUCAAAGAAUUUGUUCUUCUGAAAUACUAGAUAUUCUUGUUUUUUAUUUUCAUUUUUACCUGACAAGUUAGUAGGAUCGAAACCCACGUCUAUGGUCCAGAAUAAUGGACUUUCUUUGUGUGUAAUCCACAUAAGAUAGUCAAUUCCUUAAAAGCUGCCUGAGUGUUUGGCGUGGACUCUCCUGUCCAGACUGAUGUAUUUUUAGAGGAAGUCUCAGCCAGUUCAGACCCAAUAAGGCAAUGAUGAUACGGGCUUGGCCCAUCUUUCGAUACUUGGCCCAAAUGAUAAAACUGAAGGGAACCCGGAUGAUAACCCAAACCCACCUACUAACCCUGAUAAGAACGGAUCUGGCAAGUGUGACAUUGGUUUUUGCCUCAAGUCAAAAGUGCAUGUUUCUCUGGUCCAUUGGAUGAUCUGUUGCCUUAAUCUCGAUGUAUAUAUUCUUUGAUGAAACUGAACAGCCAGAGACUUUUCGUUCUUCUUUCUUUCGAGGGUUUUAAGAGAGUUCUAUUCUCUUUCUCUUCUGCCUUCAACUUCUGUGUUGAUGUUGGUUCUUCUCUUUAAUCGGUUUAGAGAGUGAGUGUUUCUUUGUGAAAUUAGUGGAAAGAGUGUUGAGAUUAGUGGUAACGUUGAGUCCUUUUGGUCCAUAGAAGAGACUCUGCGCUUUCGUGUGGAUUCGUGGGUAAAUUUGGAUGUUCUGUGUUGAAUAUCUAGGGUUAAUGGUUAUGAGCGUUUGAUCGAUGACACAUUGAUGUCCAGUUGUUAGUGUCUUUGAGUGUUGUAUAGAUAUGUUAGAUUUGAAGAUAAAUUGUUGUUCUCACAAAGAUGAAGCACCAAAAACUAGAGUUAAUUCUCUGGUUGUAUCUCCAUAAAUCCAAAUGUUAUUAGAGUUUUAGUUAUUGUAUCUUGUCUUACAUGGCACAUACAUGGGAUUGUAGCGAGUCUAUUCAAAACAUUCUAGUAGGGCAGUGUAAGUGGUCCGGUUUAGACACAAAUUUGUUGAAGGUGUGCAGCUGACUUGUCCUGCCAAUAUGUUUAAGGUGUCUAACUAGGAACCUUAAUUAUUAUAUUCAUGUUUGAAGGUAUUUAGGUCUUGAAUUUCUGUUGACAUGAUUUAUUUUAGCCCUUUGUUUUAUCUUAACUUCCAUCACCAGCAUAUCUACCUCCCAUCCUUGAUUGUUGUUAAAGUUCGAGUUAAUUGUUUCAAUGGUCACUGAACUUAGGUUCAUGUCUUUCAUUGAUCACUAAAAUUUAAAAUGUCAAGUUUUGAUCACUGAACUUAGGUUCAUGUCUUCGAUUGCUCACUGAAAUUUAAAAUAUUGAGUUUUGACCACUGAACUUUAAAAAAUGCAGUACAUUACUCAUUAUAAACUUGAUAUUUUUCAAAAUUUAACAAUUAUGCUAGUGAGUAACGUACGAUAUAUUCCAAAGUUUGGUGGUCAAAAUCCAACAUUUUAAAUUUCAGUGAACAAUAAAAAAUAUGGACCUAAAUUCAGUGAUAAAAACUCGAUAUUUUAAAUUUCAGUAACUAAUCAAAGACAUGGACCUAAAUUCAGUGGAUUUUCGGUCGAAAAG
rnacentral:lncRNA from 1 species